rnacentral:rRNA from 1 species
AGCUUGCUUUUUAGUUAGCGGCGGACGGGUGAGUAACACGUGGGCAACCUGCCUGUAAGACUGGGAUACUUCGGGAAACCGGAGCUAAUACCGGAUAAUUCUUUCCUACUCAUGUAGGAAAGCUGAAAGACGGUUUACGCUGUCACUUACAGAUGGGCCCGCGGCGCAUUAGCUAGUUGGUGAGGUAACGGCUCACCAAGGCGACGAUGCGUAGCCGACCUGAGAGGGUGAUCGGCCACACUGGGACUGAGACACGGCCCAGACUCCUACGGGAGGCAGCAGUAGGGAAUCUUCCGCAAUGGACGAAAGUCUGACGGAGCAACGCCGCGUGAGUGAUGAAGGUUUUCGGAUCGUAAAACUCUGUUGUUAGGGAAGAACAAGUAUGAGAGUAACUGCUCGUACCUUGACGGUACCUAACCAGAAAGCCACGGCUAACUACGUGCCAGCAGCCGCGGUAAUACGUAGGUGGCAAGCGUUGUCCGGAAUUAUUGGGCGUAAAGCGCGCGCAGGCGGUCCUUUAAGUCUGAUGUGAAAGCCCACGGCUCAACCGUGGAGGGUCAUUGGAAACUGGGGGACUUGAGUGCAGAAGAGGAGAGUGGAAUUCCACGUGUAGCGGUGAAAUG